GGAAUCUUGCGCAAUGGGCGAAAGCCUGACGCAGCAACGCCGCGUGCGGGAAGAAGGCUUUCGGGCUGUAAACCGCUUUCAGCAGGAACGAAAAUGACGGUACCUGCAGAAGAAGGAGCGGCCAACUAUGUGCCAGCAGCCGCGGUGAUACAUAGGCUUCAAGCGUUGUCCGGAUUUAUUGGGCGUAAAGAGUUCGUAGGCGGUCGAGUAAGUCGGGUGUGAAAAUUCUGGGCUCAACCCAGAGACGCCACCCGAUACUGCUUAACUUGAGUUCGAUAGGGGAGUGGGGAAUUCCUAGUGUAGCGGUGAAAUGCGCAGAUAUUAGGAGGAACACCGGUGGCGAAGGCGCCACUCUGGAUCGACACUGACGCUGAGGGACGAAAGCAUGGGUAGCAAACAGGAUUAGAUACCCUGGUAGUCCAUGCGGUAAACGGUGGGCACUAGGUGUGGGUUUCUAUUAACGAAAUCCGCGCCGUCGCUAACGCAUUAAGUGCCCCGCCUGGGGAGUACGGUCGCAAGACUAAAACUCAAAGGAAUUGACGG
rnacentral:rRNA from 1 species